GGCCGGGCCGGGCAGGGCAGGGGCCGCAUGCGGGGCCGGGCGGGGGCCGCGCGCGGAGGCACUUACGGUUCGGGCGGUGGGCGAGAGCGAUCCGUUGGGGAGAGACGAUUUGACAUCAGCUAAAUCCCUCUCCGCCGAGGAGUUUUCGGAGCUCUUCUCCUCCUGCUCGCCCUCGUCUUUGAAGGAAAUCAGUUCGUCGUUGGCGCCUAGGUCAUCUCCUCCACCGCCGUUCAGCUGCGGCAUUUUUUUUUUCACCCACGAGCAGCAAUUUUGGAAGAAAAAUGAAGGGAGGAAGAAAAGCCAAAAAAAAAAAAAAAUAAUGAUAAUAAUAAUACCCCCGAAAAAGUUUUGCUUCCCUCCCCCCCCCAAAAAAAAAAAAAAAAAAAAAAAAACGUUGCAAGAAAAAGACGAGUCCAAGGUGAACUUUUUUUUUUUUUUUCCUCCUGCUUUGGGGUCUUUUUCUUCUGGGGAGGGGAAAGAGGGAGAAGGGGAGGGGAAAAGGGGGGGAGAUCUUCUGCACGCGUGAGUUUGGGUUUCUUUUUUCUCUCGUUCCCAAGGAUCCGAUCAAUGUGCAAAAAAAUAAUAAAUAAAAAAGGGGGGUAAAAAAAAAAAAAACACACCAACAACAACAAGAAGUCAGAUAUAAAGAGCAAGGGGGG